AACGAACGCUGGCGGCAGGCCUAACACAUGCAAGUCGAACGCUGUAGCAAUACAGAGUGGCAGACGGGUGAGUAACGCGUGGGAACAUACCCUUCGGUUCGGAAUAACUCAGGGAAACUUGAGCUAAUACCGGAUACGUGCGAGAGCAGAAAGAUUCAUCGCCGAAGGAUUGGCCCGCGUUCGAUUAGCUUGUUGGUGAGGUAAUGGCUCACCAAGGCGACGAUCGANAGCUGGUCUGAGAGGAUGAUCAGCCACAUUGGGACUGAGACACGGCCCAAACUCCUACGGGAGGCAGCAGUGGGGAAUAUUGGACAAUGGGCGAAAGCCUGAUCCAGCCAUGCCGCGUGAGUGAUGAAGGCCUUAGGGUUGUAAAGCUCUUUUACCCGGGAAGAUAAUGACGGUACCGGGAGAAUAAAGCCCCGGCUAACUUCGUGCCAGCCGCCGCUGUAAC
rnacentral:rRNA from 1 species